GCAGCCGCGGUAAUACGUAGGAUGCAAGCGUUGUCCGGAUUUAUUGGGCGUAAAGGGCGCGUAGGCGGACAGUUAAGUUAGGGGUGAAAUCCCGGGGCUCAACCUCGGAACUGCCUUUAAAACUGGCUGUCUUGAGUACGGGAGAGGUGUGUGGAACUCCGAGUGUAGAGGUGAAAUUCGUAGAUAUUCGGAAGAACACCAGUGGCGAAGGCGACACACUGGCCCGUUACUGACGCUGAGGCGCGAAAGCGUGGGGAGCAAA
rnacentral:rRNA from 1 species